rnacentral:tRNA from 1 species
GGGCGUGUAGCUCAGUUGGUUAGAGCGUUACGUUGACAUCGUAAAGGUCAGUGGUUCGACUCCACUCACGCCCA